AGAAUACAACGCGUGGCGGCGUGUACCUAACACAUGACAAGUCGAACGAGAAAGUGGAGCAAUCCAUGAGUAAAGUGGCGCACGGGUGAGUAACACGUGACUAACCUACCCUUGAGUGGGGGAUAACCUAGGGAACCUGGGCUAAUACCGCAUAAUACCUUCGGGUCAAAGGAGCAAUUCGCUUAAGGAGGGGGUCGCGGCCGAUUAGUUAGUUGGCGGGGUAAUGGCCCACCAAGACUGUGAUCGGUAU
rnacentral:rRNA from 1 species